rnacentral:rRNA from 1 species
GAUGAACGCUGGCGGCGUGCUUAACACAUGCAAGUCGAACGAAACACCUUAUUUGAUUUUCUUCGGAACUGAAGAUUUGGUGAUUGAGUGGCGGACGGGUGAGUAACGCGUGGGUAACCUGCCCUGUACAGGGGGAUAACAGUCAGAAAUGACUGCUAAUACCGCAUAAGACCACAGCACCGCAUGGUGCAGGGGUAAAAACUCCGGUGGUACAGGAUGGACCCGCGUCUGAUUAGCUGGUGGGUGAGGUAACGGCUCACCAAGGCGACGAUCAGUAGCCGGCUUGAGAGAGUGAACGGCCACAUUGGGACUGAGACACGGCCCAAACUCCUACGGGAGGCAGCAGUGGGGAAUAUUGCACAAUGGGGGAAACCCUGAUGCAGCGACGCCGCGUGAGUGAAGAAGUAUUUCGGUAUGUAAAGCUCUAUCAGCAGGGAAGAAAAUGACGGUACCUGACUAAGAAGCCCCGGCUAACUACGUG